rnacentral:rRNA from 1 species
CAGUCGCCGCGGGAAAACGGAGGGUGCAAGCGUUAAUCGGAGUUACUGGGCGUAAAGAGUGCGUAGGUGGUUAGAUAAGUUAUGUGUGAAAUCCCUGGGCUUAACCUGGGCAGGUCAUAUAAUACUGUUUGACUCGAGUAUGGGAGAGGGUAGUGGAAUUUCCGGUGUAGCGGUGAAAUGCGUAGAGAUCGGAAGGAACACCAGUGGCGAAGGCGGCUACCUGGCCUAAUACUGACACUGAGGCACGAAAGCGUGGGGAGCAACAGGAUUAGAUACCCGCGUAGUCCCUGUCUCUUAUACA